rnacentral:rRNA from 1 species
CGGACGGCUGAGUAAUGCAUAGGAAUCUGCCCGGUAGUGGGGGAUAACCUGGGGAAACCCAGGUUAAUACCGCAUACGUCCUACGGGAGAAAGCAGGGGCUCUUCGGACCUUGCGCUAUCGGAUGAGCCUAUGUCGGAUUAGCUGGUUGGUGAGGUAAUGGCUCACCAAGGCGACGAUCCGUAGCUGGUCUGAGAGGAUGAUCAGCCACAUCGGGACUGAGACACGGCCCGAACUCCUACGGGAGGCAGCAGUGGGGAAUAUUGGACAAUGGGCGCAAGCCUGAUCCAGCCAUGCCGCGUGUGUGAAGAAGGCCCUCGGGUUGUAAAGCACUUUCAGUGGGGAAGAAAGCCUGGUGGUUAAUACCCGUCAGGAAGGACAUCACCCACAGAAGAAGCACCGGCUAACUCCGUGCCAGCAGCCGCGGUAAUACGGAGGGUGCGAGCGUUAAUCGGAAUUACUGGGCGUAAAGCGCGCGUAGGUGGCUUGAUAACCCGGUUGUGAAAGCCCCGGGCUCAACCUGGGAACGGCAUCCGGAACUGUCAGGCUAGAGUGCAGGAGAGGAAGGUAGAAUUCCCGGUGUAGCGGUGAAAUGCGUAGAGAUCGGGAGGAAUACCAGUGGCGAAGGCGGCCUUCUGGACUGACACUGACACUGAGGUGCGAAAGCGUGGGUAGCAAACAGGAUUAGAUACCCUGGUAGUCCACGCCGUAAACGAUGUCGACUAGCCGUUGGG